rnacentral:rRNA from 1 species
UACGAAGGGGGCUAGCGUUGCUCGGAAUCACUGGGCGUAAAGCGCACGUAGGCGGCUUUCUAAGUCAGGGGUGAAAUCCUGGAGCUCAACUCCAGAACUGCCUUUGAUACUGGAGAGUUUGAGUCCGGGAGAGGUGAGUGGAACUCCGAGUGUAGAGGUGAAAUUCGUAGAUAUUCGGAAGAACACCAGUGGCGAAGGCGGCUCACUGGCCCGGUACUGACGCUGAUGUGCGAAAGCGUGGGGAGCAAACAGG